rnacentral:misc_RNA from 1 species
CAUUACCGAGUUUACAACUCCCAAACCCAAUGUGAACGUUACCAAACUGUUGCCUCGGCGGGGUCACGCCCCGGGUGCGUAAAAGCCCCGGAACCAGGCGCCCGCCGGAGGAACCAACCAAACUCUUUCUGUAGUCCCCUCGCGGACGUAUUUCUUACAGCUCUGAGCAAAAAUUCAAAAUGAAUCAAAACUUUCAACAACGGAUCUCUUGGUUCUGGCAUCGAUGAAGAACGCAGCGAAAUGCGAUAAGUAAUGUGAAUUGCAGAAUUCAGUGAAUCAUCGAAUCUUUGAACGCACAUUGCGCCCGCCAGUAUUCUGGCGGGCAUGCCUGUCCGAGCGUCAUUUCAACCCUCGAACCCCUCCGGGGGAUCGGCGUUGGGGAUCGGGACCCCUCACCGGGUGCCGGCCCUGAAAUACAGUGGCGGUCUCGCCGCAGCCUCUCCUGCGCAGUAGUUUGCACAACUCGCACCGGGAGCGCGGCGCGUCCACGUCCGUAAAACACCCAACUUCUGAAAUGUUGACCUCGGAUCAGGUAGGAAUACCCG